rnacentral:rRNA from 1 species
AUUGAACGCUGGCGGCAGGCUUAACACAUGCAAGUCGAGCGGGGUGAUGGUGCUUGCACUAUCACUUAGCGGCGGACGGGUGAGUAAUGCUUAGGAAUCUGCCUAUUAGUGGGGGACGACAUCUCGAAAGGGAUGCUAAUACCGCAUACGUCCUACGGGAGAAAGCAGGGGAUCACUUGUGACCUUGCGCUAAUAGAUGAGCCUAAGUCGGAUUAGCUAGUUGGUGGGGUAAAGGCCUACCAAGGCGACGAUCUGUAGCGGGUCUGAGAGGAUGAUCCGCCACACUGGGACUGAGACACGGCCCAGACUCCUACGGGAGGCAGCAGUGGGGAAUAUUGGACAAUGGGGGGAACCCUGAUCCAGCCAUGCCGCGUGUGUGAAGAAGGCCUUAUGGUUGUAAAGCACUUUAAGCAAGGAGGAGGCUCUUUUGGUUAAUACCCAAGAUGAGUGGACGUUGCUCGCAGAAUAAGCACCGGCUAACUCUGUGCCAGCAGCCGCCGUAA